rnacentral:lncRNA from 1 species
CUGCACAUUGUGUACACUACGGUAGCGCUUUCAUACUGUCGCACUGACCUGUGUACUUUCGCUCGGGGCAUUAUGGGUAAGAACUAUUUUCAACAUGGAGUCGUAAACAAGGAAGUGAAAGUGUGCUUUGCAUUUUUAGCUGGUUAUUCACCAUUGUUGUUUCCAGAGUAUGAUUAAUUCUAGUGUAUCCAUUCUAGUAUCAUUUGAAAUGAUGAAUUUAAGUAAUCUGCAGUUGUUCAAAUCGAUUCAUACAUGAAAAACGGCAUCGUUUAGCUUGUUUACCUGCAAAAUCGACUAAUUUCCAGAGUAUCAGUUUGAUGUAGUCCAGUAAGGCUAAAUGUACAGCCUAGUCAGAAAAAGUCCAGACCUAAAAGGCUAAAUACCAGACCUAAAGGGCUAAUUACCAGAUGCACACUUUGUUUUCAUGUAUUGUAUUCUUGUUUUGAUAAUUGAUAUUUUUUCUUGAAUAAACAGUUGAUAAUUAGUACGAGUUUAUAUGAUAUCGGAAUAGUAAAAAUCAUAUUCAAUAAAGAUUUCUCAGCUUGCUUCAAAAUUGUAAAAAAAUCUCAGAA